rnacentral:rRNA from 1 species
CGAACGAUGAACCACUUCGGUGGGGAUUAGUGGCGAACGGGUGAGUAACACGUGGGCAAUCUGCCCUGCACUCUGGGACAAGCCCUGGAAACGGGGUCUAAUACCGGAUACGAGUUCCACGGGCAUCCGUGGGACUGGAAAGCUCCGGCGGUGCAGGAUGAGCCCGCGGCCUAUCAGCUUGUUGGUGAGGUAAUGGCUCACCAAGGCGACGACGGGUAGCCGGCCUGAGAGGGCGACCGGCCACACUGGGACUGAGACACGGCCCAGACUCCUACGGGAGGCAGCAGUGGGGAAUAUUGCACAAUGGGCGCAAGCCUGAUGCAGCGACGCCGCGUGAGGGAUGACGGCCUUCGGGUUGUAAACCUCUUUCAGCAGGGAAGAAGCGAAAGUGACGGUACCUGCAGAAGAAGCGCCGGCUAACUACGUGCCAGCAGCCGCGGUAAUACGUAGGGCGCAAGCGUUGUCCGGAAUUAUUGGGCGUAAAGAGCUCGUAGGCGGCUUGUCGCGUCGGUUGUGAAAGCCCGGGGCUUAACCCCGGGUCUGCAGUCGAUACGGGCAGGCUAGAGUUCGGUAGGGGAGAUCGGAAUUCCUGGUGUAGCGGUGAAAUGCGCAGAUAUCAGGAGGAACACCGGUGGCGAAGGCGGAUCUCUGGGCCGAUACUGACGCUGAGGAGCGAAAGCGUGGGGAGCGAACAGGAUUAGAUACCCUGGUAGUCCACGCCGUAAACGGUGGGCACUAGGUGUGGGCAACAUUCCACGUUGUCCGUGCCGCAGCUAACGCAUUAAGUGCCCCGCCUGGGGAGUAC